GGGCGGCUAGCUCAACUGGCAGAGCGCGGUGCUGAUAACGCCGAGGUAGAUGGUUCGAGUCCAUCGCCGCCCACCA
rnacentral:tRNA from 1 species